rfam:Magnetococcus sp. MC-1, complete genome.
CCCGAUAUUCUGCUAUCGGUAACCUACCUGGACAUGCAUGGUGAGCAAUCACAUGUGUGAAGCUCCAGGGACAACGGUACUGUCACCUGCCACCAAGCCGUGAGGUAUGAUGUGGCAACACUAAAACGGACAGUGUUUUACGC